rnacentral:rRNA from 1 species
UACGUAGGGGGCAAGCGUUGUCCGGAAUCAUUGGGCGUAAAGAGCGCGUAGGCGGUCCGGUAAGUCCGCUGUGAAAGUCAAGGGCUCAACCCUUGAAUGCCGGUGGAUACUGUCGGGCUAGAGUCCGGAAGAGGCGAGUGGAAUUCCUGGUGUAGCGGUGAAAUGCGCAGAUAUCAGGAGGAAUACCGAUGGCGAAGGCAGGUCUCUGGGCUGACACUGACGCUCAUGCACGAAAGCGUGGGGAGCAAACAGG